rnacentral:lncRNA from 1 species
GGGUCCUUGGCCUCCUGCUACACACAGGACUAGAGGGCGUUGUGCUGAUCCACCUGGCCUGUCCUUUUCCCCGGGCAACUGUCCUUUCCUCACCCCAGUUCAGCUGGAGGUAGUUGGAUUUUUGUUGUUGUUGUUGCUCAGCUGGGUUGUAGAUCACAGGAACCUUUGAAUUAGAAGGUACCCCAGAUUCCCUAUACACCUAACAUCGGUUAAACCAGUGUUUCUCCAACUAUCAGACGUGGUGGCAAUUUCCCACACCCCUGUGUGCCAGGGCCGCUACUGUAUUUGGUCCCUGAAGCGUCCCAGCCACCCGGAGCUGUGGUGGAAUCGCCAAUGACAGUGGGUGAAAGUUCAUAAAGCGGUACUGAUCCGCAGACCAGCAUUUCGAGUAAGCAUUGCGCCAAACUAUAUAUUAACCUUAGACAUCCAGCUGCUCUCUCAAGGACAGAAUUUGUGCCCUUGUGCAUUGCCGACUUUGCACAGGCCAGAAAGGGUCUAUUCUUUGCCUUAAGAAGAAUUUCAGGACCAGGGACAGCGCAGUGCCAGACGCAAUACAGCAAUACGCAAUACAGCUUAGCGAAAUUAGUGCACCGCUCCGCCAGUCUCUUUAGACCAGUAACCCGUUUCACUGUGUUUUAGAAGCAAUUCCACCCCUUCCUUUUCCUUUCGAAGCCAGAGAAGUAUCCUGCCAAGUUCCCGCAGAUCCUGGAGGCUUCACGGCAAUUUCUAUCUGGGAAGGGACGAUUCUUAACUUUCUGGUCUGUUACUAGGCGGAUAGAAAGGGCUGAAGUGUUGGGUCACGGGAUAUCCAGGGCCUCACUGGGCACGUGGUCAGCAUAAUAACGCCAGGGCUCACUGCAUGGGCGAGCUUACCUUGCCCCUGAUGCGGUCCUCAACUUUGUAGGUUUUCUUACUUUCCCUCUUUUCCGCCCUAGGACAAUGUAAAGCUCCCAUAUGCGCUUGAAGGUUGGAGAUACUGUAGGUAGGUGGAACUGGCAUGGGCAAGAAUUAAACAACAUAAACGCAGGGGGGUGGCGAUCUUCCCAGCAAUAAAGGUCCUACCAACUUUUUUAUACAGUAUAUAAAAAAAUCCAAUGGUUACAAUAAUAAGCUUUGUAAAUCUGUGGAACAUCCCUGUCAGAAAAGAAUUAUUUUGAAUAUGUAAUCAGUCCACUGGCGUAUAGCCCUCUCAUAUCCAAUCUCUUGUUAAACAGAACCUAAAUCGGGGUUUCUGCCUUUUCAAAACAAAAACUCACCCCGAGUUCAAGCAGCGUUUCCGCUUUCAGCAAAAGAGCAAGACUGUUUACGGGGAAUGGCUGAAAGAGACACCAGCAUACUAGAAAGAAUGGCUGGGUAAGUAAAUUACGCCUAAUGAGUUGGCAGCAGCUGCUGGGCCAGAAGAGUUUAUAGACUUCUGUUUAGAUUGUCGAUUUGUGUGUGACCUUAAUUGUACAGGUGUACAAAACUGUACAUUGGCAAUUGUCAAGUGUUUGGAUUAUUUUUAUUUUCCACUAUUUUUUAUGCACAUCUGUUCUUUCCUGAUAACAACUGCGUCUGCAAUCCUAUACACACCUCGGAAUGAGUCCAAAUGAACUCAGUCGGACUUAUUUCUCGGUAGUGGCUUAGAGGAUUGUAGUGCGGGGCGGCGAUCCUAUGCACAUUAACCUGAAAGCCUCCAACCCCAAAUAGAUUUUAAUGGCACUUCCUCCCUAGUAAAUGUGCAGGGGCUUGCAACUCGAGUAUGAGCAGUUUUCAAAUUUACUUAUUCCUGCACUUAGUCCAUUCAUAUCCCGAAUGCUCAGCCCCAAUGAGUAUUAAAAUAUAUAGACGUGGCUAUGCCUGCUUGGUGAAUGCAAAGCCGGUGAUGUGUCCGGGAUUUCCGAGGCAAGAAACAGAUCCCUUGGAUUUUGCCUAAAGCUGCCUGAACAGAACUCAAUCCGGGCUCAGUUUGAUUUAUUGUCCAACUGUUCCGGGGUAGGGGGUGCGUGGGUGGGGUGAUGUUCAACCCCCCCCCCACAGGACUAAAAUAAACUAAAGCAGAGACACCGCCUGAAACUGACAAGGCCCCCUCGCAAAACAAACAGCUGCAAGUAGUGACGGGCUGCCUGGAGAUCUCAUUUCACGUGAAUAAUGCUCUUACAAGUCUAAGGCUCUCACACACACACCGGCCUCUGUGCGUCUUGGAGAAGAACCCGCAUAUUUUUGGAAGGCUUUUUGAAUCACCGGUGAAAAAGGCGAAGUGAUGCUCUUGAAUGUCGGCGUCUUGGGUGGGAGAGGAGGAGGGGCAGGAGGCUAAGUUUGACACAUCAUUGACAUCUACCGGUGAAGGGGCGGUGACUGCUGGUAGCAAGGAGCCUGGUGUGGGGGAGAGAAAGAUAUAUUUGGCACUGUUUAAAGCAGCCCUUUUUGUCCCCUGCCCCUGCCGCCCCUUCCUUCAGCCUUGCCACGGAUUAUGCGCUUCCUACCCAGCCCUGUUCUCUCGAUCCUUCUGAUGCGAUUCCUCACAGAAUCUGUAAAUCAGAUGCGAAGUUGUCUAGGGAAGAAGAACGAGGGUGACCUUUGAGUCGUGCUCCUGUUAUCGAUACGGGCCUCUUUCUUUGCAUUUAAAAUGGGAGCCCCGAGAGGCUCAUUUCCUGCGCCUUUAACAGCAAAGCAUAUAGACAAAAGACAUUGGCCGUAUUUUUGGGGGUGUGUGGGGGAGAGUGAUGUAGUUAAGAGAGAGAAAGAAGGAAGGAAGGAAGGAAGGGAAGGUUGAAGGUAUACCGUUUGGCAUUACUCUAUUGGCUUGUGGUCCACUGGGCUACUCAAAUGACACAGCCUGAGCUGCAGCGAGCAGGGUCCGUACCACAGGCAACGAUGCCUAGUAUGUUUGCUUAUACACUUACUUAAAGAAUUUGCUUCCCACCCCUUCCCAAGAAGGCUCGCAGAGAUUUACAGACCUUAAGGCCCACAAUCUAAAGCAACAUAACACAGAAGGAAAAAGGUUCGGGAGAGAGGAGGAGGAGGCAAGAAAGCUCAAGCCCCAGUUAAGUUAGAAGAAAUUCAGAUAUUAUCAUGACACCUCCAGGUCUCUGAAAUUAGGAGAGUCUUAGCUCUGGAGGAAGUUGAAUAGAUGCUUUUCUAGCUUGGCGUCGGAAAUAGGUCUUCUCUCGUUCCUAAUAAUUCUCAUUUCUAUUAAUUAAUUAAUAAUAAUUAAUUAACAAUUACCUGCACCCCAGUCCUAUGGACAUUUGCUCGGGAAUAGGCCCCGCGGUGUAAGGCCUUUGAACACCCCUAUCCACCCUUUUUCAGGGUCCUCCUUAUCACAUCUUCACUCAACUCCUGGUGCAGGAUUAUUGACAUGAAGGCGAUUUAUAGCUCGAGCCGAGGUAGGUUUCCUCGAAAGUAAGGCCAGUUGCAUUUCGUAGGGCCUACCCGCAAGUGAUUGCUGCUAUGCUUGCAGCCUUAAUUUCCAGGAAAAGGGGAUUUAGAGGAGCACAUUGUGGGAUCACCGGGAUAUUCACCGGGAUAUUCCCACCUCUCAGGGUAAAAUUGUCACGGAAUAAUUCGCACCCUCAAAAUAGGGCUAGUGGGGCAAUGCUAUGCUUAGGAAUAAGUCCCUUUAAACUUAGGGGGGGGGGACUCCGUAAAGAGGCUCAGGAGCUGGCCACAGCUACAGCAGCACAUGGCCUGGAUUAAAGAAGAACGUAAAGUACGCGGUAGGAAUCGUUGAGCAAAGUGACAGGACUUCUGCCAGUCGCCCCUUCCGCAUAAUCAGCGCGCUGGACGAAAUGUUAGGCUUGUCUGUCUGGCGAGUCUGUCCCGCGAGUCGCUGAUUGGCAUUUCUGAAAGCAUACGCCACGCUUCGUCGUUUCACGCUGUGCAAAAUUUUAGGCUGAUCGCAGAACUAGCAUUUCUCGGAGCAGCAAAACUCUUCAAUGCCUGGAGGAGUCUAAGAGCAGGUUCGCACGUGCGUCGCUCCGAGACGGGAGCAUCAAAUUACGACUUGCACGUGUGAACGCGCCAUCACUGAUUAAACUGCUGCAAAUUCAAUUUUUAUAUUUUCUCACUCCUAACACAAUCCUAGUAAAGGCAGGUCUCAAUUCCGCUGUCCCCCGAUCAAGCGCUGAAUAGCCUGGUUCUAAUAAUUAGCAUGCUAUAAAAUGCAAUUAUAUACGUACUUACUCAGAAGCAAGUCCACUGAGUUCUAGGGCCUUUACUCCCAGGUAAACGAGUACAGUAUUGCAGCCACAGACCCCAGUCUCCAGUGACCCAUAUACACGCUACUUCAGUUAUAGGAAGUGGUUAAAAAUAUAUAUAUUCUUAGUGUAUGUUUUUCAAUCCAGGAAAGUUUAAAAUAUGAAUAACAAAGAUAUUAGAGACUAACUUGAACUCCAUCUCCUGGGAGCCCAAGCCAGCCCAGAAGAUUGGUUCGGUAGCACUCAACUGAUGACUGCCUCCUUUUGUUUGUUGACCUACAAAUGUGGCAGGGACAGAAAUGGCUCUGACCAUCACUCCACAGGCUGCCAUGAAGAAAUAUACUUCAGAUUCUGCAAUGACCAAGUCAACUUGGCUGUGGGGCCCCUCACUGUUUGAUAAGCAGAAAGAAAGAGGCCCACAUUCCCUUCUGGGGGCCACCUGUCAGUGGUGGGCGGUCCCAGAGGCAAAAAUGGGUGGAGCAACAAAGGUAGAAUUUUGCCUUUGUUCAGUAGGCUAGUUUCUACACAGACUCACACACUCUCUAUCCUCGCAUCAGUCAAGCAAGAGGCAUAAUCAGACUUCAAGGACACAUUCCAGCCAGGCAAAAGCAUUUCUGGUGUGAAACAGAAUCAGUGAGCAGUGUGGUCUGGGGAGAAUCCCAAGGGCCAGAUAGAGAUCACUAAGUAGAGAGGCUCCCAGGUGUAGUUCUCCACCUCUAGGUUACAGGAUACGAGCUAAUAUAGGAGACAACUCUUAGGAGCUGAUGUCCCUUUGCACCCCCAAUAAAAUAUUUGAG